AAGAGUUUGAUCAUGGCUCAGAUUGAACGCUGGCGGCAGGCCUAACACAUGCAAGUCGAACGGUAACAGAAAGCAGCUUGCUGCUUUGCUGACGAGUGGCGGACGGGUGAGUAAUGUCUGGGAAACUGCCCGAUGGAGGGGGAUAACUACUGGAAACGGUAGCUAAUACCGCAUAACGUCGCAAGACCAAAGAGGGGGACCUUAGGGCCUCUUGCCAUCGGAUGUGCCCAGAUGGGAUUAGCUAGUAGGUGGGGUAAAGGCUCACCUAGGCGACGAUCCCUAGCUGGUCUGAGAGGAUGACCAGCCACACUGGAACUGAGACACGGUCCAGACUCCUACGGGAGGCAGCAGUGGGGAAUAUUGCACAAUGGGCGCAAGCCUGAUGCAGCCAUGCCGCGUGUAUGAAGAAGGCCUUCGGGUUGUAAAGUACUUUCAGCGGGGAGGAAGGGAGUAAAGUUAAUACCUUUGCUCAUUGACGUUACCCGCAGAAGAAGCACCGGCUAACUCCGUGCCAGCAGCCGCGGUAAUACGGAGGGUGCAAGCGUUAAUCGGAAUUACUGGGCGUAAAGCGCACGCAGGCGGUUUGUUAAGUCAGAUGUGAAAUCCCCGGGCUCAACCUGGGAACUGCAUCUGAUACUGGCAAGCUUGAGUCUCGUAGAGGGGGGUAGAAUUCCAGGUGUAGCGGUGAAAUGCGUAGAGAUCUGGAGGAAUACCGGUGGCGAAGGCGGCCCCCUGGACGAAGACUGACGCUCAGGUGCGAAAGCGUGGGGAGCAAACAGGAUUAGAUACCCUGGUAGUCCACGCCGUAAACGAUGUCGACUUGGAGGUUGUGCCCUUGAGGCGUGGCUUCCGGAGCUAACGCGUUAAGUCGACCGCCUGGGGAGUACGGCCGCAAGGUUAAAACUCAAAUGAAUUGACGGGGGCCCGCACAAGCGGUGGAGCAUGUGGUUUAAUUCGAUGCAACGCGAAGAACCUUACCUGGUCUUGACAUCCACGGAAGUUUUCAGAGAUGAGAAUGUGCCUUCGGGAACCGUGAGACAGGUGCUGCAUGGCUGUCGUCAGCUCGUGUUGUGAAAUGUUGGGUUAAGUCCCGCAACGAGCGCAACCCUUAUCCUUUGUUGCCAGCGGUCCGGCCGGGAACUCAAAGGAGACUGCCAGUGAUAAACUGGAGGAAGGUGGGGAUGACGUCAAGUCAUCAUGGCCCUUACGACCAGGGCUACACACGUGCUACAAUGGCGCAUACAAAGAGAAGCGACCUCGCGAGAGCAAGCGGACCUCAUAAAGUGCGUCGUAGUCCGGAUUGGAGUCUGCAACUCGACUCCAUGAAGUCGGAAUCGCUAGUAAUCGUGGAUCAGAAUGCCACGGUGAAUACGUUCCCGGGCCUUGUACACACCGCCCGUCACACCAUGGGAGUGGGUUGCAAAAGAAGUAGGUAGCUUAACCUUCGGGAGGGCGCUUACCACUUUGUGAUUCAUGACUGGGGUGAAGUCGUAACAAGGUAACCGUAGGGGAACCUGCGGUUGGAUCACCUCCUU
rnacentral:rRNA from 1 species